rnacentral:rRNA from 1 species
GACGGAGGGAGCAAGCGUUGUUUGGAUUUACUGGGCGUAAAGGGCGUCUAGGCGGGCCAGCAAGUCAGGUGUGAAAUCCCCCGGCUCAACCGGGGAUCUGCACUUGAUACUGCUGGUCUUGAGUACGGAAGAGGAAGGCGGAAUUCCUGGUGUAGCGGUGAAAUGCGUAGAUAUCAGGAAGAACACCGGUGGCGAAGGCGGCCUUCUGGUCCGAUACUGACGCUAAAGCGCGAAAGUGUGGGGAGCAAACAGGAUUAGAUACCCUGGUAGUCCACACUGUAAACGAUGGAUACUAGGUGUCGGGGGUAUCGACCCCCCCGGUGCCGCAGCUAACGCAUUAAGUAUCCCGCCUGGGGAGUACGGUCGCAAGGCUGAA